UCUCCGUAGGUGAACCUGCGGAGGGAUCAUUACCGAGUGAGGGCUCACGCCCGGCCUCCAACCCUUUGUAAUCCAUACCAUGUUGCCUCGGGGGCGACCCGGCCUUCGGGCGUCGGGGCCCCGGGUGGACCAUUCAAACACUGCAUCUUUGCGUCUGAGUACACGAUUGAAUCAAUCAAAACUUUCAACAACGGAUCUCUUGGUUCUGGCAUCGAUGAAGAACGCAGC
rnacentral:misc_RNA from 1 species